rnacentral:rRNA from 1 species
UACAGAGGUCCCAAGCGUUGUUCGGAUUCACUGGGCGUAAAGGGUGCGUAGGUGGUCGGGUAAGUCUGAUGUGAAAUCUCCGAGCUUAACUCGGAAAUGGCAUUGGAUACUAUUUGGCUAGAGGGUUUGAGGGGGGACUGGAAUACUUGGUGUAGCAGUGAAAUGCGUAGAUAUCAAGUGGAACACCAGUGGCGAAGGCGAGUCCCUGGAAAACUCCUGACACUGAGGCACGAAAGCUAGGGGAGCAAACAGG